rnacentral:rRNA from 1 species
CCUACGGGUGGCUGCAGUGGGGAAUAUUGGACAAUGGGCGAAAGCCUGAUCCAGCCAUGCCGCGUGUGUGAAGAAGGCCUUCGGGUUGUAAAGCACUUUCAGUGGGGAAGAAAGCCUUGGGGCUAAUACCCUCGAGGAAGGACAUCACCCACAGAAGAAGCACCUGCUAACUCCGUGCCAGCAGCCGCGGUAAUACGGAGGGUGCGAGCGUUAAUCGGAAUUACUGGGCGUAAAGCGCGCGUAGGCGGUCUGAUAAGCCGGUUGUGAAAGCCCCGGGCUCAACCUGGGAACGGCAUCCGGAACUGUCAGGCUAGAGUGCAGGAGAGGAAGGUAGAAUUCCCGGUGUAGCGGUGAAAUGCGUAGAGAUCGGGAGGAAUACCAGUGGCGAAGGCGGCCUUCUGGACUGACACUGACGCUGAGGUGCGAAAGCGUGGGUAGCAAACAGGAUUAGAUACCCUGGUAGUC